rnacentral:lncRNA from 1 species
GUGAGUCAUUUCAGCACCCCAAUUAGACUCUCUCCUCUGCCCAGAGACCACACGGCGUCUUAAUCAGCUGCUUGGAAGGUGUACCUGGCAGGCAUGUUCCCCACAGCCUGGAAGAUGCUGACCUUGUCAGCUGAGAAACAUCAAAGAGCUAAUGAGAGAACAGGGGUGAGAAAGACCUCACCACCUGGGUGCCUGUCGACCGCAGACUUGCAAGGCCUGACGCGGCUGAGAAAUGUUGUCAGGAGCUCGGAGGAAGUGGAGCCUUCUCUGCUCUGAGGACCUGCCCCCAGCCCCCUUCUGGGGCACAGGAAGGGGAGGGGGCGAAGCUAAAUGGUGGCCACAUGCUCAGUGACUCAGAUGUCACUGCUACCACAAAGGGAAAUCCGUGUGGGGGGUGCCACCUCCAGAGACCUCAUUCACCUGCGAUUCGGGGGAGAAUAGCAUCACCUCAGGUGCCAGGCCCAUUAGCCCCAGAACAUUAGUCAACCGGCCUGUGUUGACAUUUCUGAUUUCAGCUCACGGUUUACAUGAAGGACCUGGCCUCACCAAGAAGCUGAGCCCUCAGGAAGACAACAGCCUUUGGCCUCCAGACUCACCCAUCCAAGGAGCUGGUUUCAGGAAACUCAAGAAAUCAUAUGCUGCAGAAGGUUUGGAAAAGUUUCCCCACCAGGAGCCUGUUGUCCAGGGGUUUGGAAAGCCGAUCCAGGAAAACACCUGCGACUGUAGGCAGCUCUGGUCCUUCCGAGGCCCUGCUCAUCAGACUUCCCCAGGGUCAGACAUCCUUCCGCACAGCUCUUGUUCAGUCUGUGGCCCAAACAGCCUAGGGCAUGAUGGAGGCCCGGAACAAUGGUGGUUUUGCUUACACAGCGUGCUUGGCCGCUGGCUGGACUCACGCAAUGCUCACGGAACCGGUGUGGGCUGCCACAGCUUCCCUGUGGGACAUUUAGCUCCCUCACUUCAAGUCCAUCAAAGGACUUGUUAUCCUGGUCCCCUUUCUGUCCGUUGUUCCUCUCCCCUUGGGGCUGUCCUCUCACCCUCUCCUGCCAUCCCUCCUCUUUCCAAGCUCUUGCCCCACAGAACUGCAAGGACUCUGAGACCUGGGACGUCUCACGGAGCCGGCUUUUGUCAGGCCAGUCUCCAUCGCUCUGGGGAGUCUGAAGGCUUUUUCUUUUAAAGAUAAGUUGGGGAGAGGGUUAGAAGAGUGCUGAGAAGUGACGCCUGUUUCUUCUUUCUUUUCCUUUCCCCCUCUGGGGCUCAGAGACCAGGGUUUUUUUCUUUUUUACAGUA